AGCAGUCGCCGCGGUAAUACGGAGGGUGCAAGCGUUAUCCGGAUUUAUUGGGUUUAAAGGGUCCGUAGGCGGAUCUGUAAGUCAGUGGUGAAAUCUCACAGCUUAACUGUGAAACUGCCAUUGAUACUGCAGGUCUUGAGUAAAUUUGAAGUGGCUGGAAUAAGUAGUGUAGCGGUGAAAUGCAUAGAUAUUACUUAGAACACCAAUUGCGAAGGCAGGUCACUAAGAUUUAACUGACGCUGAUGGACGAAAGCGUGGGGAGCGAACAGGAUUAGAUACCCCUGUAGUCCCUGUCUCUUAUAU
rnacentral:rRNA from 1 species